rnacentral:rRNA from 1 species
UACGUAGGGGGCGAGCGUUGUCCGGAAUUAUUGGGCGUAAAGAGCUCGUAGGCGGUGUGUCACGUCGAUCGUGAAAACUUGGGGCUUAACUCUGAGCUUGCGGUCGAUACGGGCAUCACUGGAGUUCGGCAGGAGAGACUGGAAUUCCUGGUGUAGCGGUGAAAUGCGCAGAUAUCAGGAGGAACACCGGUGGCGAAGGCGGGUCUCUGGGCCGAUACUGACGCUGAGGAGCGAAAGCGUGGGGAGCGAACAGG